rnacentral:lncRNA from 1 species
GGUUAUCCAUAUUACGGAUGAUUAAAUGCUUGCAAACAAAAAUUAUAUUUUAUACGUAUCAAUCUUAUACGUUCCAACGUGGUAGAAAGUUGAAGAGAGUUUGCCUUUUUUAUAAAAUCCCUCUAUAAAUUAAAUGAGAAGUCACUUUAGUGAUUUCUGCUGACAUGGCAUUCAUAUAGAGUUUCUCAGGAAAAUUGUUAUAAUUAUAUUGGUUGAUUUUUUAGAAUUUUUUUUUUCUUUAUUUUUAAUCAAUCGCUUAUGUAGACAGGUCCAAAACUAUUGUCGAUUUCGUUAAGCCCAUAUAUAGCUAUGGGGAUAAUAAUUAAAAUUUACUUAAUUUAGAUCUAAAAAUUUAAGGUAAGUCUAAAAUCAUUUAACA